UUUCCACUGAGCCAUGGCAGGGAACUCCUGGGAUUAUUUUCUUAAUUUCUAUUUUUGAUAGUUUGUCAUCAGUGUGUAGAAAUGCAACUGAUUUCAGUAUACUGCCUUUGUGUCCUACAACUUUAGUGAAUUUGCUUGUGCUCACAUUUUUUUUUUUUCUGGAGUCUUUAGGAUUUUCUAGAUAUAAUAUCAGGUCACUUGAAAAUAGACACAACUUUACUUCUUUCCAAUUCAAAUGCCUUUUAUUUCUUUUUCUUGUCUAAUUGCACUGGCUAAGACUUCCAGUACUAGAUUGAAUAAAACUGGUGAGAGUGGGCAUUCUUGUUCUCUUUUAAAAGUACUUAAUAGACCUUAUUUUUUAGAGAAAUUUUAGAUUCAGAGCAAAAUUAAGAAGAAGGUACAGAGAUAUCCUAUAUACCCCCUACCCCAACAUAUGUGCAGCUUCCCCCAUUCAUUAUCAACAUUCCCCACCACAGUGGUACAUUUGUUACAAUUGAUGAACCUACAGUGACAAAUCAUUAUCAUUCAAAGUACAUUUUGUGCUGUACAUGCUAUGGGUCUGGACAAAUUUAUAAUGCAUGUGUCCACCACUAUGUAUCAUACAAAUCAUUUUACUUCUUCAAAAAUGUCUUGUGCUCUGCCUCUUUAUCUCUUCCUUUCUCAUACCCCCUGGCAACCACUAAUCUUUUUACCUAGAUGUCACCUUCUAAAUCACUGAGGGCUUUAAGAUAGAAACGGAUGAAAUCAGGAAUGUUCCUAGAGAGCAGUAAGUGUGUUUUCUUCUGCAUUGUAUUUUCUGACUGGUGAUGUGUGGCACAAAGUUGCUCCUUCAUAAAUAUUGAUUGAAUGAGUGCGAUUAUUUUAGAAAGAGGUAAUUUCUCAGAGCCAGGCUUUGUAUUUGCACAACAGAGUUUGUAGACCAGAUUCCGCCUGAGUUUGAGCUUCUACCUUAGAGCAUCAGAGCCCCACUUACCCUAUGUUAAUCAUCAUCCAGACAGAUUUCCUAGAGACUCUAUUCAUCCAUCAUGAUUUCCUCACUACAGGCUCCCACUGCCAUUCUUCUCACCAUUGCCCGACUCUGCAGUGCCUAUGAAAAUGUGUAAGAGAGGCCGGGCAGGGAUCAUCUGGCUGCUUCAACUCCACCUCCUCCUCCAUUACCUUCCGUGCUGUGCACACAGACUGGAAUUACCAACCUUCAGCGAGCUGAGUAAAUUAUUUUCUGCUAAUCAGCUUAAUUACCCAUUUCUUUAAGAUAAACUUUCAAAUGUUGUAAAGGCCUUCAGAAACCUUUUGUUCUUGCAGAUUGUAGUGGUAAAAUGGUAGAAUGCUCAGGUCCCCCACAACCCAGAAGCUGAGACUGCUCAGAUAAUGUGGCUGGUGCCCACUCACCUCUUUGCACCUGGGCCUUUAUUGGCUGUCCACAUCAAGUGGGAAGGAGGGCAACUCUUAUCCCCCUUUACAGAUGGGCAGUUCCAGGAGAACUCUGGCUCCAUGGGAACCAUGGUGGUCCCUCCCUUAGGGACUUUUCAAAGUCUGCCAUUGUAUUCCACAAAAGGCUGAUGCCAUUGGCAAGCAAAGAACAUCUCCUCAAUUUCUCAAUAGGACAGCUAAGGCCCAGAGAGUCUGUUGUCCCCAAAGCCUCAGGAAGCGGGGCUCUUGGGGUCCCAUCCUCCACACAUGCCAUCUGCUAGGUAUCAUCUUCUCCAGUCUCAAGAGUUUCUCGGUCAACUAACCUCCAUUUCUAAGCACCCAAUCCUCAUCCAGCACAGGCUGGGCUUUGGAGAGGUGUCUCUCUGACAUGCAUUUGCUUAUGAAUCACCUGGAGAGUGUGUUAACAUGCAGAUUCUGGGUGGGCUGAGACUCUGCUUUUCUAAUAAGCAACCAGGUAAUGCUGAUGCUUCUGGUAUGUGGACCACACUUUGAGCAGAAGGACAGUGGAGAUAAGAAGGAAAACCUGGAGGAAGCCCUGCCCUUAAAGAACUCCCUGCCAGUUAAGGAAAUAAAACCAGAGGGUCAGAGAACUUUGUAGAGCUUCAGGGGUUAACAGAGGCCUGUAGCAUGGCUGGUGUCUGAUGUUGUUGAAUGAACAAAUGAUAAUAAGAAAGGCGUACGCAGCUGUGAUUCAGUGAGGGUGCACUGGACAGAGCUAAGUCCAAGGAGCUCAGAAAUGAUUACCGACUAGCAUCCUCAGAAGCGCUAAGUGAAGGGGAACUCACAAGUAAGUCUUUUAACCUGCCAUCUAGGGCAGUGACUUUCAACUUUUUUUUUGACCUGGGCCCACAGUAACAUAACAAGGAAUGAAUGUUACAUUGUGACCUGUACACUCUGUGUGUGUGUGUGUGUGUGUGUGUGUGUGUUUAGAGGUAGGUAUAUAUACAUGUAUAUACAUAUCUACUGCUGAAGCAAAAUUUCUGGAAAUAAUAUUUAAAUUGUAUUAAAACGUAAUUUUUUUUAACAUCCCCUAGACAGAAAUACAUAAGGAAGCAUACUGACGUCCAGUAAGCUUGGGCGUGGCAGGGGUCACAUGACCUGGCUGCAGAUGUGGAAGGAUGCAAAGCCACUGCCCUCCAGGAUUUCUUGCUGGUGCUCCCCUCUGGCCAAUCACAGCCGGGGCAAGGGAGCCGCAGUGAUAGAGCACAUAAAGGAUGAUAGCUCCGGUCCCUUGCAGGAUGAUGCGUAACUGCUUGUGAAUGUCCUCCAGGGAGCCCAGCCCCACCCUCUGCUCAGUGAAAAUCAUGGGCUACUACAGGCUAAUGGGAGGAGGACUGCAGAGGGCAGCCACCCUGGAGAGCAGAGCCCUCAGAUGGAGACAGCUGGCUUCCAUCUGAGCAGAGCCCAGUACGCUGCACGCAGGACGUGUUCAUAGCUCUGCUGACAUUGCUCAGCUGGGAAAUGAGAGGUUCAUGAGAUGGCUGCCCUCUUCCUCCAGAGAAGCAAGACCCCAGGUAAACAAGAGAUUCUGUGCAGUAAGCAAUCCCACGUGAGGCCUCUUCAGAAGCCCAGAGUGGCUAUUGGAGGUGUCUGCCUUGCCCUGGGAGAGUGGCAUCUCUCAGAGGGGGAGUCCUGGGUGGCAGCUGUGGGGGAUUGGCACCACUUUGAAAGAGGUGCUGUUUCUGAAGGGUGGACUAUUCAAGAGUUAGUGCUUCAAGCUAAUGAAACUAGACCUAGUUUUGCUGCAGAAGCCUUCUCAGGGACCGUAUUCGUUUGUCAGGUCUGCUGUAACAAAGCGCCAUAGGUUGGGUGGCUUAACCCACAGAAGUUUAUUUUCUCACUGUCUGGAAGCUAGAUGUCCAAGAUCAAGGUGCCUGAAGGUUGAUUUCACUCUGGGGGCGCCCUCUGUGACUUGUAGAUGGCUGCCUUCCUCCAGUGUCUUCACCGGGUCUCCUCUCUGCGCGUGUCUCUGUUUAAUCUCCUCUUCUUAUGAGGAUGCCAGUCACCUUGGAUUAGGGUCCAUCCUGAUGACCUCACUUUACCUUAAUUACCUCUUUAAAGAGCCCUUUCUCCAAAUACGGUCAGAUGCCAAGGUUCUGGGGUAGGACUUCAGCAUAGGAAUUUGAGGGGACAAAUGCAACCCAUGACAGUAACUUUGGGCAACAUUGGAUUUUCUCAAUUGAAUUUUUGUUCAAUUCCGUCAACAAGCUGUACUGAAUACCUACACUGCACUGUUCAGAUGCUGGGGAUAUGGCAGUGAGCACAGAGACAUUCUGGGGCAGAGACCUAGUUAGGAAAAAAUGUAUGGCUCAUUGAAUAAUGUACAGGCUAUGGAGGCCGUGAAGGCAGGGCCCGGGUGUAGGACGUGUCACCUAGCCCUUCCCCCACCUCCAGGCACCACCCUACCCUGGUCAUGCAUCUCACCCAUGCAAGCCCAGGGUUACAGGGGCCCUGAGAGCCAGGCUGUGGCUGGCUGGCUGCACACUAGGGCCACUGAUGUAGAAACCGUCCAGUGCACUCACCCCACAGCCCAGCCCGGAGCCAGCAGCAUGGUGGACCCUGCGGAGGAAACCCUGACAGUCUGUUCAUCUUGUUCCAAGUGAGCACUGACAACCACUGCAGGCUGACUGUGUGCCAGGUCCUAUCCCGUGCCCGAUCGUCUUUCUUCUCCCACAGCCCAAGAAACACGAUUCUUUUCCACAUUUACAGAUUAGGAAACUGAGUUCCGAGAGUUUAUAGAACUUGCCCCCAGUCCAUCUGGAGCAUCAGCCUGUUAGCCUGCCUCAGCCACUGAGCUGAGCUGUCUAGCGAAGAGAAGGUAGGGUACUGUUGGGGCUGGAGUUGAAGGUUGGUUUUCAUUGGCUUCCGAACACUUUUUAUCUUCAAGGAAAGCUGCCAGCAGAGCCUCCUACCAGAGGACGAAUAAAUCUUAUUUCCAAUAAGUGACGGCCAGCAUUAAAACAUGCAGAAUUUUUCAACAUAAAUUUUCCCAGCAAUUAUAACUCAUUACUUCGAUACAAGGCAUGAACUGCUGCAGUCUGUCCACGGUGAUGAGGAAAACACUGGGCACGAGCCUGGCAACAUGGUCUUUGACAGCAGUGUGAAAUAUUUCACAGCAGUUUCCAGGAAGUUUUGCCGGCUGCACUGAUGACAGUGAGGUCUUCUCCACGGCAUCUGUUGCAAGGAGCCUUAACACACAUUUCUCCUGGUGCUGUGGGGCCCCUCGGAGAAAGCAGGCCAGGUGGAUAAAAAGAAACAGCAGAUAGUGACACAACGCUACAAAUCAACUGUACUCUAAUAAAAAUCAAAAUUAAAAACAUACUGAAAGUAGCUUACAAAAAGAAAGAAAGAAAGAAAAAUCCUUCUUUGAGAUGUUUGCUUUCUCAAAGGCAUUCUGGGCUCUCUCAAGGUCAAUGUUUUGAGACCUGGCCUUGCUGCUGUGGGUAGUGCUUCAGCACAGAAAUCUAGAGUUCCUUUCCCUUUUGUCUUAAAGUAAAUCUCUGCUUUGGGGGCAAUGUCCUUUUUUACUAAGUGUCAUGAUGAGAGUUUAGCUAAAAAUCCAAGGUUGGAGUUCCCAUUGUGGUUCGGUGGUAACAAACCCAACUAGUAAC